rnacentral:lncRNA from 1 species
AAUGGAAAUUUUACAACAUCCUUUCAAACUUAACUUUGCUUUAUACCUAAUAAAAAAUAAGAAAUCAAAUGGCUAAGAUAUGCAUUACAAAAUAAGUAAAAGAUCAGAAGACAAAACAUUUAUGUAUUUAUGAUACUGAACUGGGAGCUGUGGUUCUUCUGCGCUGUUUCACUGAAGUCAGCCUGUAAGAAAAUCUUAUUUUGUUCCCUUUUCAGGAAUUAAAGAGAAACUGGGGCUCUGUGAAGAGAGUUAGGUCUGAAAGCCAGCUGGUUCCCAACAGCAGCCUGACCUGGUCAUAGAAAGGAUGCUGUCUGAGGCUUACACUGCUGCCUUCUACAGGUCUGCAAGGAGCCACACCGCUUCUUUGUGCCUCCAUCUUCCCAUCUGUCAGAGAAGCAUUGCAAUGCCUACCUCCCCAGUUAAGUACUUUGAAGAUUAUUGAUGUUGCAGCAAAGCUUUUAUAUGAGCAUUUGAUUCUAAUAUUUCUUCCUUCCACAGUAUGUUUUAUUCAGGCCAAACUCCUUCCCACUCUCCUUACAGCUAAUGGAGCAGAGAAUCUUUUAUCGCGGCCGUUCCCUAUUGCGGUCUGAGAGGUCUGUUUUGAUAUGUCAGCACAAGGAACUUUUCUUUUUAUAAUUACAGAUUUUGUCAACCAUUUUGACUACUAAUCGAGCUGCAGUAUGGAUUACUGCCUUAUUAGUAACACAAGCAGUUCUCCAAAACACACAGCCUGAGGCAGAGCCUCAUUAUGGAAGACUUCAGGCCAGUUUAUUUAGCAAAGUUGUAAAGAACUGGAAAUGAGAUCUUACACUGGGAAAUACUGAGUAACCUUAAGUGUAGGCAUAAAGCCCUGCUCCCCUUAGAGACACACCCUAUCCAUAGGUGUUUUGCUGUCCAUGUAACUGGUUAUGUGCUAGGAGAGAAUCCACUAGCUGCUGUCAAACCAGUGAACAAGGCGGCCCCAGGGUCAGCCAGAGUGUUUAGGAAAAGAACUGUGAGGUAUUUCUCCUCAAACCUGCCUUCUGAGGAAGACACUUGCCUCAAGAGGAAAGAGAAAAGUGGUCAGUGACAUAAUUUGAAUGCAAAAUUAAAGACUACUGCUGAACAUUAAAAUAUUUCUUCUAGUUCCCCAGGGAUUUUGCAUGGAAUUCACUGUGCUCAGUGUGAAUGGCAGAGGGACUAUAUUUAUACUUGGUAAAUUGGCUGGAUGGGCUCCUGGGAUUUGAAUUGUUUAACACAGAAAGCUCUUGAUUUGAGGAUAUUUUGUAGCGUCCAGUGGCAAGAUCCACCCACAACCCCUCAAGGGAUGCAUACAAAAGGAUAUGUCUAAUUUUGCAUCAUGAGUAGCUGGAGAAGAAUACAGGCCAGGUGUGCAAACUGCAUGAUUUAAAGAGAAAGAAAAAAAAUUAUGACAUAUAAAUUAAAAGUAUCAGAAUGAAGGUCUUUUCUUAGAAGCAUACAGAAUUGGACUCAAUAGUGGUACUCAAAAUUGGUACUUCCUUCCUGCCUUCCUGGAGUAAUUCUGUUCAGGCCACUGAAACUUUUUUGAAUUAUCUUGGUUUUAGUAAAGAUUUUCAGAGGAAAAAAAUU